GUGGGGAAUAUUGGACAAUGGGCGAAAGCCUGAUCCAGCCAUGCCGCGUGUGUGAAGAAGGUCUUCGGAUUGUAAAGCACUUUAAGUUGGGAGGAGGGGCAGUAAGUUAAUACCUUGCUGUUUUGACGUUACCGACAGAAUAAGCACCGGCUAACUUCGUGCCAGCAGCCGCGGUAAUACGAAGGGUGCAAGCGUUAAUCGGAAUUACUGGGCGUAAAGCGCGCGUAGGUGGUUUUGUAAGUUGGAGGUGAAAUCCCCGGGCUCAACCUGGGAACUGCCUCCAAAACUGCAUGACUAGAGUACGGUAGAGGGUAGUGGAAUUUCCUGUGUAGCGGUGAAAUGCGUAGAUAUAGGAAGGAACACCAGUGGCGAAGGCGACUACCUGGACUGAUACUGACACUGAGGUGCGAAAGCGUGGGGAGCAAACAGGAUUAGAUACCCGUGUAGUCC
rnacentral:rRNA from 1 species